CCUACUUGGUUUGUCGCCAUCAAUUCUCUCUGGGAUCCAUAUCUUCAGACUAAAUGUAUAUGAAGGGGAUGAAAUUGCAGAGAUCACAAGUGACGUCGGUGAUGCUUUCUUUAGCUAGAGUGCACGAGUUGACAAAUUUUUGGUUAGUGGAAAUUUCUUUGCGC